CAAUAGCGUAUAUUAAAGUUGUUGCAGUUAAAAAGCUCGUAGUUGGAUUUCUGGUCGGAAGCUCCUGUCCUCUGAUGAGCGUACAAGUGCGUCCUACCAUCCUUCUGUUAACCUUUAAGGCUUUCGCGGCUUUCUAGGGGCUCAGAUAUUUUACCUUGAGGAAAUUAGAGUGUUUCAGGCAGGCUAGCGCCGGAAUACAUUAGCAUGGAAUAAUGGAAUAGGACUUUUGCCUCUUCUGUUGGUCAUGAGGCUCGAGUAAUGAUUAAUAGGGAUAGUUGGGGGCAUUAGUACUUAACUGUCAGAGGUGAAAUUCUCGGAUUUGUUAAAGACUAACUUAUGCGAAAGCAUUUGCCAAGGAUGUUUUCAUUA
rnacentral:rRNA from 1 species